rnacentral:tRNA from 1 species
GGAGUAAUACCCAAGUGGUGAAGGGGACUCCCUGCUAAGGAGUUAGUGGUGUAUGCCAGCGAGAGUUCAAAUCUCUCUUACUCCGCCA